rnacentral:rRNA from 1 species
AAUAUUGGACAAUGGGCGAAAGCCUGAUCCAGCCAUGCCGCGUGUGUGAAGAAGGUCUUCGGAUUGUAAAGCACUUUAAGUUGGGAGGAAGGGGUUGAAGCUAAUACACUGCAAUUUUGACGUUACCAACAGAAUAAGCACCGGCUAACUUCGUCCCACCAGCCGCGGUAAUACGAAGGGUGCAAGCGUUAAUCGGAAUUACUGGGCGUAAAGCGCGCGUAGGUGGUUCGUUAAGUUGGAAGUGAAAGCCCCGGGCUUAACCUGGGAAUUGCUUUCAUAACUGCUGAGCUAGAGUACGGUAGAGGGUAGUGGAAUUUCCAGUGUAGCGGUGAAAUGCGUAGGGAUUGGGAGGAACACCAGUGGCGAAGGCGGCUUUCUGGACUGUAACUGACACUGAGGCAUGAAAGCGUGGGGAGCAAACAGG